rnacentral:pre_miRNA from 14 species
ACACGUCAUCUCUGUGCUUCUUUGUCUACAAUUUUGGAAAAAGUGAUGACGCCAUUGCUCUUUCCCAAAUGUAGACAAAGCAAUACCGUGAUGAUGUCGU